ACCCUCGUGACUAAGUGACCAGCUGGAGUCAAUCUUAGAGGAACGAGCGAGGGAACGCGAGAGAAACGAUUUACUUUCCCCAACGACGACCGCUUGUUCGAGCAAUUUGCGAAAUUGGUGGCUUUCAACAGGAGAAGCGAAGAAACAAAAGCAAAAGGAUGCCCACAGCAGGCAGCAAGUUGAAGCAGUGCUUGCUGGCUCAGGAUCAGCUGGAGCAGGCCAUCAACGCUGUGCUAAAAACAGAGCAGCAGCUGAGGGACAACGCCAGAGAGGUGCGAUGGCAGCUGCAGAGUAACAUGAGUCGCCAGCAGGAGGCGCUCCGCUGCAGGGAGGUCCAUCUUCUGGGCCAGAUCGAGCUGCUGGAACACGUCAAGGCUGAAACGCUGCAGCAGCAGUUACAUCAACUCCAUCGGAUGCACGGGCAGUUAGAAGCCAUCUCCCAGCAGCUGCGGAGCAUCCACAGCAGCGGCGACCUCGGCAAUCAGCUGACCGACUGCAUUGACAAGAUGUCAUCACUCAGUUUGAUGCCAGAGGAAACGCCCGAGAUGAUUUUUAAUGCAGACUCGCGCUCCUUGAGGGACGCCAUCACUUCUUUCGGGAGCAUCAGCGUCCAGAAAGACCAGGGUGGGGUUCUGGGCAACUGGCUGCUGGAAAGUCGUCCUGGACUCGGACUUGAAGCUGACAAAUACAAAGCUUCCCGUCUGGCCCCGGGAUCAGUGGAUUUUCUCAAGGCCUGGGGUCAGCUACAAGAUCUGGAGAUGUGGCUGCUCCGGGACCAGAAGGCCAAUGGUCAGAAGUGGAAGGACUCCUCUUCUCCCUCCUGCGUCUCUAUGGACAAGAUCAACAAAUCCGACUCGCCUAAUCUCUUCCGGGACGACGACCUGAGCAAAUGGCUGCAGCCCCCGCCCGCUGCCCCCACUGAGUCGGGUGGCGAGCGUUGGCGUUUGCGCUUGAAUCCGUUUUCUGAGUGCCAGUCCUGGGACGACUGGCUCGUGGGCUCUGACUGCUCCUCCUGCUGCCGCCAAGGUACCCAGGCACUGGAGAUCGAGAACCUGGGCCAGCUCAAGUGCCUCAAGACCCAGCCGACUGUUGCCCCCGCGCCCGCCGCCGCAGCGCCCCCUGCCGUCGCCGGCCUUCAGGCGUGGCUUCAGCAGGCGGCGCCGCUGCCGCAAACAUGCCGCGCCAACGAGCCGUGCUCCAGCUAUUCUGAGUGUGUCUGUGACGAAAACUGCGGAAAAGAAGCUCUGAACGCCUGGCUGCUGCAGUGCAGCGCACGAGACAAAAACGGCGUCCCCGUCUCCGUUGCCGCCGAAGCACCGCUUGCGUCCGCUAACAAUGUCCUGCCAGCUUCAAAGGAUUUCCCGCCUACUUUGCAGCGCCGACAGCAAGAACAAAAGGUUCAGGCCAUUCUGGAGGCGUGGCUUCACCCUUCCAACCUUUCCUCCGGUACCUCCGGCUCCUGCUUCCAGAAGCCUUUAGUUGCAGAAACUUGGAUGCUUCCGGAGAAGUUGGUGGCAGCAGCGCAGCAGGAUGUCAAGAACAGGUGUCAGGAACGUGGGACCUUGCCCUCUCUCUGUGACUCCUUUUCCAGCAUGAAAGUGGGUGGGGACCAAGAGAAAUGGCUCCACAACCCUCGUCCAAUCCAGAAAUAAAGUCAGGCUGGACAAAAGAGGUCCAAGAACUGACACUUGAGGGACCUCAUAUGUCAUUCCCAUUUGAUCGGUUUGAUGAAGAGGAUGAUCUUCACUUCAAUCCUGUGACAUAGUUUGAUCCCAAACAGGAAGUCGAUUGAAGGCAUCCCAUCGAUCAGUCAGCUAUUUACUCUUACAGGGUGACUUAUUUUAACAAAGAUUUUUACGAAACAUUUAUUUUUGCGAUUCCGUUGAAUGCUUAUCCUUGCCAAUUCAGGCUCAAACUUUUCAUCCUAGAUUUCUCAAACAAUGAAAUAAAAUUUUUGCUCCUCGGAAUAUUCUCUUGUAACAUCAACAUGCUUUGAAUUUACUCACCUGGGAUGACAUUUUUUGUGUGGAUGUGGGGGUGGGGUCAGUGGUCUUCUAGCCCUAAUAAAACAUGUUGACAUCUGCGUUCAUGGA